AAUGGCCGCAAGGCUGAACCAGUAACUUGGAAGAAUGUAACUGUAUUUGUAUAAAUACAAUAGCGAUUAAUUCGCAUAAAAUUCUAAAUAGAUUGUAUAUAAUGACAUAAUCUAUUUAUAAGUCUUGACCAAACUACGUGCCAGCAGUCGCGGUAAUACGUAGAAGGCUAGUGUUAGUUAUCUUUAUUGGGUUUAAAGGGUAUGUAGACGGUAAAUUAAACUUUAAAAAAGUACUUUUUUACUAGAGUUAUAUGUGAGAAGGAAGAAUUCUUGGAGUAGAGAUAGAAUUUGUUGAUACCAAGAGGACUGUCAACGGCGAAGGCGUCCUUCUAUGUAA
rnacentral:rRNA from 1 species